GAAAGCGUGGGGAGCAGACAGGAUUAGAUACCCUGGUAGUCCACGCCGUAAACGAUGACUGCUAGCCGUUUGGGGCCUUCCACGCUUUAGUGCCGCAGCUAACGCAAUAAGCACACCGCCUGGGGAGUACGGUCGCAAGACUGAAACUCAAAUGAAUUGACGGGGGCCCGCACAAGCGGUGGAGCAUGUGGUUUAAUUCGAUGCAACGCGAAGAACCUUACCUGGCCUUGACAUCCUAUGAGCUUUCUAGAGAUGGAUCGCUGCCCUCCGGAA
rnacentral:rRNA from 1 species